GAAUACAUAUUUAAAAUUAUAACUUUAAGUCUUAAAUUAAAAAAAAAUACUUGCAUGAGCACAUAGAAAGAACAAAAUGUAUGCCUACAAAAAUCUAGCUGAGGACAAGCAAAUUCAAAUUACAUCUUAGAAGAGACAUAAUUUGGAUAUUAAUAAAGAAAUUUAUAUUAUGCUUUCAGGCAAAGAGUUCAAUGCAAUUUCAAAAGAAACAUUCACAUAGACAUCAGAUCUUAUCAACACUAAAAUUUAACUUUGGGGAAAUAGUAUGCAAUAUUAUUUUAAGAUUUUCAAAGAUAUCCAGUGUAAGCAAACCAAUAUUCAGCUAAGCUUGAUUUCAAGAAUAAAUGUCUUGAACAAAUAGUUACAAAUAUACAUGAACAUAUUUUUUUAUUAACUUAGCUUGAUGAAUGUGUAGGUAUAGGUAAACUAAGGCCAGUGGGUCCAGAAUGGCUCACCUUUUUGCCUUGUUGUAUUUUUUUUAUAUAAAUAUUUUUGGGGAACACAGCACUUUUAUUCAUUUAUGUAUUUUCUAUGGUUUCUUAAGCACUACAAUGUCAGUAUUAAGCGUCUGCAAUAGUAACAUAUAAACCACAAAGUUUAAAAUAUUUCCUGUCAAGUUACAGAAAGAUGUUGCCAAUCUUGUACUACAGAAUAAACUUCAGACAAACAAGAACUCAUUGGAGAAAUCUUAUCCCAGGGCCAAGAUGUCUACCCGCCUUCCCCUAAAUUCAUGUGUGGGAAUCCAAUCCCUCAGAAGUCUAUAAAAGGUACUCUGAAUAUGGAGAUGAGUAAAACCAAGCUUCCACAUUCCAUGCUCUCACAAUAAAACAUGGGAUGGGUUCUUGCAAUGGUGCCCAGGCUGGACUUGAACUCCUGUGCUCAAGCAGUGCUCCUGCCUGAACCCUCUGGGACUACAGGCCUGUGCCAUCACACCCACCUGUCCUUUGAAGCUUUGAAGCCAGGAAUUGACUUGCCCUCUCUAGCUAUCAAAGUCCUCAAUGGUGUCUUUUUCUAAUAGAAGGUUGUUUCCACUACAUUGAUAAUGUAUGGUUUGAUGUAGCCACCUUCAGCAACUAUCUUAGCUAGAUCUUCUGGAUAAUUUGCUGCAGCUGCUACAUCAGCAUUUGCUGCUUAAACUUAUACUUUUAUGUUGUGGAAAUAGCUUUCUUUAUUAAACUGCAUGAACCAACCUCUGCUAGCUUCAGUGUCUCUUCAGCAACUUCCUCACCUCACACAGCCUUCAGAGAAUUGAAGAUUUAGGAAUUUGCCUUGGAUCAGACCUUUGUUUAGGGGAAUGUGGUGGCUGGUUUGCUCUCUUCAGAUCACUAAAAUUUCUCCAUAAGGUCAUCAAGGCUAUUUUGGUUUCUCAUCUUUCAUAUGCUCACUAAAGUAGUAAUUCUAAUUUCCUUUAAAACUUUUCUUUUGAAUUCAGAACUUUGCUAACUGCCACAAGAGACCUAGCUUUCAGGCGUGUCUCAGCUUUCAACAUGCCUUUCUCACUAAGCUUAAUUAUUUCCAGUUUUUUUUAAAUUAUUAUUUAGAGACAUUUGACUCUUUUAUUUGAACAUUUAGAGGCCGAUGAACACUUCUUAAUCAGCCUGAUUUCAAUUGUUGUGUCUCAGGUAAAAGGGAGGCCUGAGGAGAGGAAGAAAGACGGGGAAUUGGCCCAUUGAGGGCCAUUAGAACACACACAACAUUUAUGGAUCAGGUUUGCUGGCUAUUUUAUAUGAGCAUGGUUAAUGGC
rnacentral:lncRNA from 13 species